CCAAUAGCGUAUAUUAAAGUUGUUGCAGUUAAAAAGCUCGUAGUUGAAUUUCGGGAUCAGUACGCCGGUCGUGCCUUCGGUAUGCACUGGUGUCACUGGUUUCUCCCUUCUGAAGAACCAUCAUGCCAUUAAGUUGGUGUGGCGGGGAAUCAGGACUGUUACUUUGAAAAAAUUAGAGUGUUUAAAGCAGGCUCGCGCUUGAAUACAUUGGCAUGGAAUAAUGAAAUAGGACGUUUGACCCUAUUUUGUUGGUUUCUAGGAUCGACGUAAUGAUUAAUAGGGAUAGUUGGGGGCAUUAGUAUUCAAUUGUCAGAGGUGAAAUUCUUGGAUUUAUUGAAGACUAACUGCUGCGAAAGCAUUUGCCAAGGAUGUUUUCAUUAAUCAAGAACGAAAGUUAGGGGAUCGAAGACGAUCAGAUACCGUCGUAGUCUUAACCAUAAACUAUGCCGACUAGGGAUCGGAUAAUGUUAAUUUUUUAAUGACUCAUUCGGCGCCUUACG
rnacentral:rRNA from 1 species